GUCUGAAUACUUUCUGAAUAAAGUGUACAUAUAUUAUUAUCUGCCAUUCACCUCACAUCAGUCUGUAUACAUCCAACGAUGUAUUGUAUUGCAGCUGUGGUUACGGUGUUGGUGCGAGCUGGUUUUGACGAGACCAUGCAGGAGGCUCUCCCUGGUUUGCUGUUCAGUGCUGGAUGACAUGCUCUCCUGUGUGCUGGAUACUGGUGAAAAAGCAGCUGAAUGAUGUUGGCAGUGAUAUUCAAGGUAGAGGAGCUGCUUUCUCAACUGCAGUAUGUACUGGAGACUCGUGAGGUUAACUGGAAGCAUGUGCUCUCCUGUCUCUCCACCCUGCUCGUGUACAAUCCAAACACCCAGCCAAGCCUCAAAGCCCCAGUGUCAGGCAGGUCAGGAUGUGGACAAGGCAGUCUCUUUGUUUGAGAGCACAGGAAGGAUAUCUGCCACAGUCAUCAUGGAGGGCUGCAUGUUCAGAAGGCCAUAUUUCCCGACCCGGUUUCUCCUUGCCCUCCUAACUCCACGUGUGAGUUGUCUGGCCAGGAUCUUCCACACGCUGAGUAUUGUGUUCCCUGAAUGUGCUGAGGAACUGGUUGGCCAGACAAUCAUCAAGCUUCAUGUAGAUGAGUCGACUUCCCCUGAGCUGCACAAUAAAGUCGGAAGGAAUGCCAGGAACUGCCAACUCUCCUCCUGUCUCUGCAUUUCUCCUUCUCUUCUACUGUUUUUCUCCUCUGCUCUGUCUCAACUAUUUAGUUUCCUACUCUAUUUGUCUGUCGUUCUAGUUAUUUCUGAUGCAACACUCACUGUUUCGGUCUCUCACACUGUCUGUCUGUCCUGUCUAUGUUCAGGUGGAGAACAUGAUCCUCAGGAGCUUCUGCCAGAGACUUUUGGACGCCUCCGGAAAUAAGCCCACCGAAUAAUACAGAAUUGUCACUACUUGAUUUUCUUUCCAGUCCAUCUGCACAUAGUUGUGUAUAUUAUGUUCUUCUUAGCCUCCACAAGUGUAACUGCAAGUCAGCUUAAAACUGCACUUCUCUCCUUUGAGCUUAAUGUGCUCUGUGACCCAAGGCCGAGCCCCUGGGUGUCCCAGUUUGUCAACAUCCUGCUGGGACACAGACAGCUGCUUACUGCCCUCCUGCACCACAUGUGGGACCUGCUCCACA